CAAAACUGUUUUCGGUUUUGAUCAUUGAGGUUUUAAAUCUGAUUGAAUCUGAUGCUAUGUUGCUAGAAUUGUUUGACCGUAUAUACGAUUGAGUUCAGUACUCAUGUAGUGUUAGACACUUAGACUAUACAAGUAUCAUGAGCCGGUCGACCAACAAUCAAACAAGAACAUGAUCGGCAAACCAAUGAUACCGCAUAGCUUUAAUAUCCACCACCCUUCACAAGCAAUCCCUCAAACACAUACAGGCCAACGUCAGGCCUACACUAACCAAAUACACACCAAGCCUAGUCCGAUACCUAAACCAGACUUAGGACUUAAUGUCAGAACCUGCAAACAAAUCAAUCAACAACCAAACACAAUCAUAAUGAUAAGAUACUAUGAGUAAC
rnacentral:lncRNA from 1 species